AGAAGCUAAGAAACCUAACCGGCACCACAGAGCAAGCAAGCAGCAGGGCUAUAAUAUUGUUCCUGAAGCUUCUAGAGGCUACCUGCUUGCCUUGGCACGUGGGCUCAUUCCUCUACCUUCAAAGCCAUCACAGGCAGGCAGAUUCCUUCUCAUGCUGCCAUCUCCCUGCUUCUCUCUCUUCUGCUACCGCUUCCAAAUUCAAGGAUCUGAAUGAUGACACUGAGCUCACUUGGAU
rnacentral:lncRNA from 1 species